GGCAGCUGCUCCCGGGACCCUCCUGCUAGCUGUGCAGAGCGGGGGUGGACGGCAGAGGAUGCUGAUGUCAGCGUGUCCCCUCCCCCGCCCCUGUACCCCAUCUCCGCAGAGCAGGGCAGAGGGGACAGCCUGGUUCAAGAGGACUCCGUGCUGCUGUAGUCUGAGGGGGUACAGCACAUAGUUGACUGGAAAAUUUGCUUGCUCAUCAGCCUCUGAAGCUCACAUUGAUGCUGAAAUUCAGGAAGAGUCUGGAUCUGCUAUAACUCCUCUGAACCCAUUGAUUAAUUGGAAUAGAUUUUGUUUUUAUGCAGCUCUGGCAUAUCAUUUCCACUACUGAGGUGUGAAAUUUACACAUUUUGAAAGACCAGAGGAAAUAAACAAGUUGCCAUAACUGAGCAGAAUUGCACUACUGUCAACGUUACCAAUAAAAGUAUUUUGCUGUAACAUCAUCAGAUACGCUAUCUAAAAGACACCGUUAGCCUUCCUUUCAGCUCGAUUUUUGUUAAAUACAACAUUAAGGGACUGUAUCUAAAACUGGACCAUAAUAUAAAGUUAAUUCUGGCAUACAGUACCUUGCAGGGGAACAUCCAGGGUGACAUUUGUCCGCUCUUGCAAGGAGCUGCAAGCCACAGCUUUAGCAUUCUUCCGUUCAGCCAUAAUCUGGAGAAGACGGCAAUAGAACAGCAUUUUUCCCCCCCAAGAUAUAUUACAGUAGCAAUUCCAAGUAUAAAUUUACUCUCAUUACACCCCUAAUCUGGGAAAUCUGCAAUUAGUCAGAGUCCAUAUGACCAAAAGAGAUACUAAAAUUAAUUUUCUUUCAGUUUAUUUACAAUUCUCUCUUUGCGGGACGUAGAGCUACAAAUAGAUAUGAAAAAUACAUGAAGUGAAAAUUAGCAGUUUAUAUGUUCAAAAACUGCAGUGAGGAAGGACAUAGAAAGUAGUAUAACUAAAUCUAUACAAAUAAAAAGUGAAGAAGCACUUGUCAUCCCAUGCAUAUUUCUGAUCUACCUAUUUACAUAUACCCUCCUGAGAAAAGAGUUACCAUUGUGACCCUGGCUGUGUUGGAAUGUAAUGUACAACUACAUUUUGUUUAUGUUUUAGUAAUACACAAACUGCCAUUUUAAGUACAUUUUACAGAGAGGUCUAGUGGUCUGAGCACAGGACCUGGAGGCAGAAACUUGCUCUAAAAUCAUGGCUCUCACACUGGCUCCCUCUGUUUGUGAUUAUUAUACUUUGAGGUUGCUUUCUGUUUAUGAGGCAAUAUUCAUAUCCUGGGCUAAAUAAAAUAAGAGCUGUUGCUGAGAGUCGGCUAGCUUAAGAAUAAGGCCCUGAUUCAGUAGAACAAGUCCAUCCAAUGGUAUGUAAGAAUGUACUUAAUUGCUUUGCUGACUCAGGGCCAUAACUAUCAUUGAGGGCUUGUCUACACCGGGGGUUUAACUCAGGCUGCUUGACCUAAAAAUGCCUGUGUACAAGCAACAUAGUUCCUUUGAGUGCACUAACUCCACAUUUAUCACAAACUCUGGAGUCUUCUUUCAAGUUAGAUGCAAACUUAGUUAACACGGUCUAUUGUUAGUGCGCACACAAUGCUGCUUCACACUACUUUGGAAGUCCUCCAACUGCUAUCCCACACUCCUUUGCAGACAUGUAUGAUGGACCUGUGUGUUUACCUGUGUCCCCUCCCACUGCUCUGGAGUCAAAUUGACAAGAUAUCUCCCUCAUCUGCCAGGAUCAGACCAUUUAUUCCUGGAUUCCAAUAUACUUCUGUUACAACAAUAUUACUCCAGCAGCCUCUACAACUGUGCUUCCAACAGCUGCUUGGCGCCAUGCUGAGACUCUAGAUCUCACUACCAUCUGGGGAGAAGCAACAGUGCAGCAAGCUCUUGGGGCCAGCCACCAGAAUGAAGAUGUGUUGGUGGACAACUGACUAGCAAUGUCCACAAGGGGUCACAACCAGGACACCAACUAGUACCAGAUAAAGACCAAACAGCUCAGGAGACUGUACACUACAAUCCUAGAUGCAAGAAGAGUCUGGCUGUGGAAAUAUAACCUAUCUAUUUUUUGAGGAGCUGGACAGGAUAUUAAGCAAUUACACAGCCAAGGAGGUUGUGGAUCCUGUGCACAGCUGCACCCCCUUCUCCUGAGGACAAGCGACAAGAGUCAUUGAAGGAAGAACACAAGUAGCACAGCGAAGAGCUCUCCCCACAAAGCCAGAAUCUCUUCAGGACUCAGGACUCUGAGGGUAGCCAUGUUGGAAGCCAGCCUGAUUCCCAGCCAGAAGCUAGCCCGGGACUGAGGAGGCAGAUCCUAUCAAAGAAACCUUGGCAUGAGGAAGAGAGACCAGACUAGACUCCCCAUAUCCUCUCCUGGACUCAGCGUAUGGCACCAGCAUCCCAUCCCCAUAUUCUAGGAUAACACUCUCUUCUCCUGUAGUCAGGUAAUGUGGUUAGCUCUCUACCUCAGGUUGUAGCAAUCUGUGCUGUAGGGUUUAAGGCUCAGAGUUCUAGCCCUGUGGAUGAUGUAUGAAGGGGAGGAUUAUUACCAUUGCACAUAACAUAAUUUGUUUUCACCUUUGUCCUUGAAAAACUCCUAGGCAAUGACAUACAAAAAACUACAUUAACAGAACCUUAUUUUGCUUGCAACAUUCUCAAUAGUUAGGAAAUGCCAGAAUUACGGUUGCCCAUGCAACCUUAAUUCAGCCUCCUUG